GCACCUAAAUCUUUCCUGUCCUUGCGGUGCAGUGCAAGUCUGGGGACAGCAGGUGCUAUAGCACAGCAGAGGAAAUCCAGACGGGUUGCCUUGCGCUUCAUUUGGGAUCUGUCUCUACAACUCUGCAACACAU
ensembl:snoRNA